AUAGCCCCAGUUCAGAAGCAAGCAGAACAAUCCGAAUUAAUUUGGAUUUGUUAGCAGUGCACCGGAUUAGAGCAGUUUGGAUUUAUUUUCGAAGUUUGACAUCAAAUGGGUUGCAUGCACCUAGCCUAGAUAGUUUUUUGAAGUUUUUAAUUGCAAGGGGAUAAUUCCAAAGAUAUUUCUGUGCAUAUGGUUCAAGUGUCGUGCAAUAAUGAAGUGUCAGAGGAGGUGUUUGGCUUUGAUUACGUGUGGAUGGAGGAAAGCAUGUGGUAAAGCCACGUCACCAAAGAUCAAAUACAAUCCUUUGAAGAUCAAGUCAUGUCAAGCACAUGGGAGUUUGAAAUGAGACUCUACUCGAAGAUCAGGCCGUGCCAAGCAAGUACAUCAGUCCUAUAAAUACAGGUGCAAUGGCAACGAAAGAAGCCCCUCCAAUUCAACACACAAACUACCCUGCGUAAACGCUCGCUUUAUGCGAAACCUCUCAACAACCUUGAGAUUUUAGCAACUGGCGAACAUCUUCAGUUUAGAUAAAUAACACUAUUGCCUUAGAAUCAGUCGACCGUGAAGCACUUUCAGUUUGGAUAAACAGCACUGCGACAGGGUCGACUGGUUAUCUAUCCAAGUCUCGAUCAAGAAGGAUUUUCGAAUCCUUAUUGGUAGAUGUCAUCUCAUUAGCUUUCUCGGCGAAGUAAGGUGUUACAUGUUACUACAUUCGACACAUUGAAAGCCGAAUUUGAUAUUGAACUUCGCAGAACUAGUAGCCUUGUCUUUAGGCUCUUGAACCUAAAGGCCGAGAGUGUUCCUUCCUUGGCCACAGUUGCAAGAUCGAGAAGUCAGCUACCCGCCCAACGCGACAUCAACAAAUUUUACUCACCGCCCGAGCUCGACCGUCGAGUUGGCAUGCCCCGCACACAACCAAAUGACGUAGUUAGCUUAUUAAUUACUCGGCCUGCGCGCCACGUAGACUUGGUAGUUUUAAGGUCAACAUUUUGUCACGCCCAGUGGGACCAAGUGCUAAAACUACGAAAUUCACAUGAUAUAUCAAUAUCACAAUCAGGAUGAGAUUCGGCGCCUAUUUAAGGAAAUUGUCGAGCAACAAAAACUCCUUGAUCGGAUCGUUGAAGCAAAUGAAGAAAGGCAAAAAUCUUUCUCUCAAAUGAUAAAGGUGAAGGUUCAUCACAGCUUACAAGAUCAAUGGUUAAAUGAAGAUAGAGCUCGAUUUUAUGAGUGGCUCGAUAAAAAAACGUCUUUGGGUUCAAACCAAUUUCAUUUGAAGAAUGGUUUGAUCAAAAGGCCAGGGGGCAAUUUUUCACUCCGGCCAUAACCAACAUUCGGCCUAAAAAGAUUGUCGAGACGGUCAAAGAAGAACCUAGGCCACCUGUUUUUUCAGUCGAGACUGAAAUUGUGGUAGGCCUAGAAAACAAAAGCUCAAGUUUCUAAGCCACAAGUUAACUUAGAAAAUGAUUUGUUAGAAGAGUGUUCCAAUGAUGAAAAAGAUCGAUAAUCAGCUUCGGACGAAAAAGCCACAUCAAUUGAUAUGGUAAUUGGAGAUGUGGUCUUAGACGCCAAAACUACGCCAAUUGACAUGGUUAUUGUUGAUAAAGCCAAUAUAGAGAAAUCUCAUUAGGCUAAGUUGUUUGAGUUAAAAGCCGAAAUUGACGAAGUUAUUACGCCUGGUGGGCAUAAUAAUUGUUCAACACAUUCGGCGGCCGAAAAUAAAAAGAAUUUCACCAUGUCAAAAGUAUUUGGAGAUUAUUCUUUAUUCGGCUUAAAGCGAAAUCAAAUUGAAAAUUUUAAUAUGAAACGAUCUCUACUAUGAAUAAAACAUUGUUGGCCUUCUCCUUCUCAUGGAUCAGCCACUUUAUUCCCAUAUAUCCAUCUGGCUGUUUGAGCCGAUGAUGCAUAAGAAAAUAGGGGGGUAGCAAGCAUCCUGACCUCGUACUUAAAAAAAAAGAAAAAAAAAGGAAACAACUUUCGUUGUCUAGGCCGAGGCCGAGAGAAUCAGGAGGAUGCUAUGGUGGCCAUAGCGUUGGCCGAUUUAAAAAAAAAAAAAAGUUUUGAGGUCCAUGCCCCUGAAGACCUGCUUGAAAGUGGAGAUAUUAACAAAGCCAUUCAGCCCAUUUUUAAGCUUUUUAGGAUAAGUCCUCUAGAGUAAUCACAUGACGGAGGAAUCUAAGAAAAAAGAAGUAGGCAUGCAUGACAGAAACAGGACAUUGGGUUUAAUAUAUAUAUAUAUAUAUAUAUAUAUAUAUAUAUAUAUAUAUGUAUGUAUGUACAACCAGUUGGUCAUGGGGUUUAUAUAUAUAGUUAGCGUGCAUCAAGACGCCACGACCAAAACACCACUUUAGGAUGCCAUUUCCAAAUUUUAAAAAUGCUGAGGAGUGGAUGGCUGAAUGACAUGUCGAACGACUGCUCACAUGUUUUGGAGUUCGUCCCCCAAAUUUCUUCAAAAUAGGUAGUAGGCUUCAGUCUAUGGACAUGAUGGCGUGAGGAACCAUGAUUUGCUUCAAGGUACCAGGUUAGUGAAAAGUUAUGGUUUUCUUUCAUGUCAUGUCAGAACACAAUUGGGAAGAGUGAGAAGUCAUGAUUUGCUUUUAUGUCAUGUCAUAAUACAAUUGGGAAGACAAAAGUUUUGUCUAUUUAUUUAGGUCGAGCUCAGCUAACUCGUCGAAUAUACUUUUCAAGUUAUGUAACCAAGUCUAUGGACUUAACUUCUAAUUCAGUGUCGGCCGAAUCUGGGUUUUAUUGUUAUUUUGUUUGGCCAACUUUUGCCGAGCUCGGCGGACAUAAGUUGGUGCUCAGCAGUAAAAUCAUGGGUCUCUUUCAUAUCAUGAUAUCUACAGUAAAAAGGCUAUCUAAAUGGGGGAUUUGUUUUAAUAUCUCGGUGCACCUCAUCUCAAAUUUUGGUCAAAGGAAUGGAAUUUUAGAAAUUAGUUUGCCAAAUAAAUUUUUAUUCGGCGAUGGUUUCUCAGUAGUUCUCGGUUAUAUGUUUUUCUUGGUCAUUCGGCGAAGUUACGAGUUUCAAGGUCAUCUAGCCGAAGCUGAAGGAAAUUUUGAUAUGCGUUGACGAAUAAUUUCCUUGACCAUUCGGCUUAUGAGCCGAAGCUUAAGGAAACUGGGGGGCAAUGUUUGCGCCUGAUUUUAAACUAUCGACCUAAGUAAUCGAGACCGUUGAGUGAGCAUGGUUCUAGACCGUUGGAUAAGAAAGUUAAGAUAAUUUUUUUUUUUUUUAAAUAAUGUUAUGGUUUUUAAUCAUAAUAAUUAUCUUUUAACAAAUCAUCUUGAUUUUCUCAUACAAAACAACAGGGAUACAAAUCAUAGCCCCAAUUCAGAAGCAAGCAAAACAAUCCGAAUUAAUUUGGAUUUGUUAGCAGUGCACCGGAUUAGAGCAGUUUGGAUUUAUUUCGAAGUUUGACAUCAAAUGGGUUGCAUGCACCUAGCCUAGAUAGUUUUUUUGAAGUUUUUAAUUGCAAAGGGAUAAUUUCAAAGAUAUUUCUAUGCAUAUGGUUCAAGUGCCGUGCA
rnacentral:lncRNA from 1 species